rnacentral:rRNA from 1 species
GACGAACGCUGGGCGUGCUUAACACAUGCAAGUCGACCGGUGAAGCUCCAGCUUGCUGGAGUGGAUCAGUGGCGAACGGGUGAGUAACACGUGAGCAACCUGCCCCUGACUCUGGAAUAAGCGCUGGAAACGGCGUCUAAUACUGGAUACGAGAAGGGUCCGCAUGGGCACUUUCUGGAAAGUUUUUCGGUUGGGGAUGGGCUCGCGGCCUAUCAGCUUGUUGGUGAGGUAAUGGCUCACCAAGGCGACGACGGGUAGCCGGCCUGAGAGGGCGACCGGCCACACUGGGACUGAGACACGGCCCAGACUCCUACGGGAGGCAGCAGUGGGGAAUAUUGCACAAUGGGCGAAAGCCUGAUGCAGCGACGCCGCGUGAGGGAUGAUGGCCUUCGGGUUGUAAACCUCUUUCAGCAGGGAAGAAGCGAAAGUGACGGUACCUGCAGAAGAAGCACCGGCUAACUACGUG